rnacentral:rRNA from 1 species
UCUGCCUGGUAGUGGGGGAUAACGUUCGGAAACGGACGCUAAUACCGCAUACGUCCUACGGGAGAAAGCAGGGGACCUUCGGGCCUUGCGCUAUCAGAUGAGCCUAGGUCGGAUUAGCUAGUUGGUGGGGUAAUGGCUCACCAAGGCGACGAUCCGUAACUGGUCUGAGAGGAUGAUCAGUCACACUGGAACUGAGACACGGUCCAGACUCCUACGGGAGGCAGCAGUGGGGAAUAUUGGACAAUGGGCGAAAGCCUGAUCCAGCCAUGCCGCGUGUGUGAAGAAGGUCUUCGGAUUGUAAAGCACUUUAAGUUGGGAGGAAGGGCAGUAAAUUAAUACUUUGCUGUUUUGACGUUACCGACAGAAUAAGCACCGGCUAACUCUGUGCCAGCAGCCGCGGUAAUACAGAGGGUGCAAGCGUUAAUCGGAAUUACUGGGCGUAAAGCGCGCGUAGGUGGUUAGUUAAGUUGGAUGUGAAAUCCCCGGGCUCAACCUGGGAACUGCAUUCAAAACUGACUGACUAGAGUAUGGUAGA